rnacentral:lncRNA from 1 species
UCCCCUGAAGCAACAGGACUGCAUGAGCUUGGUGUGGCUGAGCCCAUGUCCUAAUGAACAUCCAGAAAAGAAAGACACUCAGAAAGCCAGGAAAAUGGAAGAAUUUUUUUUUUCAGCCAGCCAGGCACCUGACAGUAAUCAAAAUCUGUAAAGAACAGGAUGUGGAGCCUCCUCUGCUUGUUCAGCACGAACAUUUUGUGGUGGGUGCUGCAAAGAUGACUCAGACACAGUCUCCACCCCAGGUCACUCAUAGUCUAGUGCAGUACACCAAAGCUGUGAAAGCUAAAGGGCAGACCAUUGGCCCAUCCAGGGAGAGUGGUAGAAGAGGGAGCAUUUAUUUGAAUAGCUGUGAUGCUACCAGUCUGAAAAAAGGGGAAGGUAUCUUGAGAAUAAGAAGCAAGUUUUCAAAACACAGAGGCAGAAUGGAUAGAAUGGGGUGAACACAGUAAGGUGCAGAGUGUGUGAUGAGCGUACUUGUCAGGUCUCAGAUGAAAGUGACCAAGACCUAGCUCCACUGUGAUGAAGCCUGUAAAGAAAGACAUACAUGAACACACAAAUAAGGCAAUGCAUUUUCUUACGCAGCUGAAAGGUACAAGAGAGGACCAGGUUAUCAAAAAUGUCUUCAGGGUGUACCCAAAGCAACCAAUGGAACAAAGAAUUGGACAAAACGCACAAACAAAGCAAGAAGGAAUGAAGGGUUUUAUUGAAAAUGAAAGUACACUCCACAGUGUGGGAGUGGGCCUGAGCAGAGGGGCUCAAAGGCCCCAUUGUAGAAUUUUGGGGAGUUUAAAUAUCCCCAAGAACCUGAACAACCUCUGCCGUUAACAUAUUUUGGUGACCCGGGAAGGAGGAAGAGGCCUGAAAGAUAAGACAAAGAGGUUCCUACAACCUGGAGACCGAGAAGGCUGCCAGGCAGGAGCUGUGAUUGCAGCUGAAAGAUGCAG